GAUGAACGCUGGCGGCGUGCCUAAUACAUGCAAGUCGAACGCAGUGGGGACGGGUGAGUAACACGUGGGUAACCUCCCAUCAGAGGGGAUAACACUUGGAAACUGGCGCUAAACUGAUACUGAUGGAUGGACUCGAGGUGCAUUAGCCUGUGGGUGGGGUAACGGCCGACCAAGGCCACGAUGCAUAGCUGUGCUGAGAGGAGGAUCAGCCACACUGGAACUGGGACACGGCCCAGACUCCUACGGGAGGCAGCAGUGGGGAAUCUUCGACAAUGGACGAAAGUCUGACCGAGCAACGCCGCGUGGGUGAAGAAGGUUUUCGGGUCGUAAAGCUCUUUUGUUGGGGAAGCGUUAUCUACAGAGGAAGCAACGGCUAACUACGUGCCAGCAGCCGCGGUAAUAC
rnacentral:rRNA from 1 species